rnacentral:lncRNA from 1 species
UCUUCUGCUUCCCUCAUCUGUUCUCUUCCAAAGAAGCUGGUCCUUAGCCUGUAUUGCGGAGCAAGCUUUCGGCGACCAGCUGGACCCUGGGCACCCUUCUUCGAACAAUGGCUUUUAAUUCUCAGACUAGAACGUUUAGGAUUACAAAAGAAACUGGUUCUUUUCACCUCCUUAUUCUUGUGAUGUAGCAUUCCGCAUAUAUAUAUAUAUAUAUCCAACUAUCCUAAAAGACACUGCCCUUCAUCAUUCCAUGCCGUUAGACAUUUAUAGGACCAUGCAUGGUGAUCUCCUCCAGACAAAAGUAAAUGCUGGUGCAGAACAGGAUUUGAGUUUGAUGUCAUGCAUAUAAUGUGAUCCCACUGUAUGACUACACAAAUGUUGGCAAAAGUAAGUUCAGAGGAAAUGGUAGGCAAGUACUUCCCAGUUUUGACCAGAAGAUGGAGAAAAAAAGAAUUCUCAAAAAAUGUUAAAGGUGUCUACGGAGAAAUAGACAAGCGAUGCACGACAGAUACAUGUGUCAGUCUGGUCCCUGCAGUUGUAUUUGUAAUAAUACACAUUGGAGCAAUUUCAUGGCCAUCGGUUAGAGAAUGUUUGAGGAAUGAUCCAUUCAUAUCAAGAAGGACAUUUCAAAGAUCAAAACCUGAUGGAAAUGCUGGAGACCAUGGCGCUGAUAGGAGCUCAUGCGUGUUGACCAAUUACUACAUGACAGGCAUUGUCUCCACGCUUUUCCUGCACUGCUCAUUUAAACACUGGACAACCUAAGUGUUCUGAUUUAGCCCAUUGGACAGAUAGAAAUGGAGGCACAGAAGAUUAAUGUGUUUAACUUCAAACCCUGGCAGAUUAGGUUUUUCAUCCAGAGCCUGUGGCUUCACCAUAGGUGUGAUUCACGUUCUGUCAUUCUCCACUUUAGGAAUUUCCAGUAUUCCAAAUAUGAGAAGCUGAGUAAACAAACAACAAACUCAAAACCCUAAAAACCAGGAUACGUAAGGGUAGAUGUUUGUUGGGUGUGGAUUAAAAAUGGACUUUUUUUGCCCCAAGCAACAAAGAGGCACCUUAGAAAAUAGACAAGAGACAAGAGGAAGAGAAGCUUUAAGAGAUAUUUGGUCCAAGGAGGAGACUCUUCAGAUGGAAGGUCACAUCAGCUAGAAACAUUAAUAUGACUGGAUGGGCUCAAACCACUGACUUUUCAGUCAACAUCCAACAGCACUAACCCAGUGUUCCAGAGACACUGCUUGUUAAACAGUGAAAGCUGUUGCUCAAUUGUGUCAUCCAUAAUUGUCAAAUAUUGCCAUUUAGUAGCACAAGGAAGUAUUCUCCGUUGCCAAGCUAGAGUACCCAUAACUCUUCUGUUUUGUUGAACAUUCUUCCCCACCACAAACCCUCUUUAGAAGACUGGGGGCUCCUAAAGCAUUGAGGCCGAGAGUCCCAUCCUUGUGCAUGUUUGGGCAUUGACCCAGGGCCAAGUCAGUGGGAGACUCCUCCACGCCUACGCCAGGUCCCCAGGUGACAACUGCAGUCUCUGGAUCUGAAGUCAUCCACUUUCCCAUUCCUAGCUCACCUCACCCAUCGUGAAGCCUGGAUUUCCUUUUUAUCACUGGUUUUGAUGGAUUUGAUUAAGAUGUUCCUUGGUGAAGUUUUCUUCAUGUUUCUUGUUCUUAGAAUAAUCAUAUUUCUGUAAUAUUUGAAGUUUAUGGUUUCCAUGGAGCUUCUAAAUCUUUCAUCCAGUAUGUUUUAAAUAUCUUUGUCUCUCUUCUCCACUACACGCCCUUCAGGGAUUCCAUUUAGCCCUAUACUGGGGGGUUUAAAGUUUUGAUGCCGAUGGUCUUUUUAUGUUUUCAAGUCAUUUGUUACUGUGUGUUUCAUUUAUGUUAGUUUCAACUUCUAUUCCUUCUAGUUCAAUAAUCUUCUCUUCUGCAAUGUUUAAUCCACUGCCUUCUUCCAUUUCAGACUGUAAAUCAUACUUUUUAUCUACAGAAUUUGAUAUUUAAAAAAUUUUCAACCUCCCCAUUUAAAUACAAUUAUACUAA